UGGGGAAUUUGGACAAUGGGCGAAAGCCUGAUCCAGCAAUGCCGCGUGUGUGAAGAAGGCCUUCGGGUUGUAAAGCACUUUUGUCCGGAAAGAAAUCCUUGGCUCUAAUACAGUCGGGGGAUGACGGUACCGGAAGAAUAAGCACCGGCUAACUACGUGCCAGCAGCCGCGGUAAUACGUAGGGUGCAAGCGUUAAUCGGAAUUACUGGGCGUAAAGCGUGCGCAGGCUGGUUUGCUAAGACCGAUGUGAAAUCCCCGGGCUCAACCUGGGAACUGCAUUGGUGACUGGCAGGCUAGAGUAUGGCAGAGGGGGGUAGAAUUCCACGUGUAGCAGUGAAAUGCGUAGAGAUGUGGAGGAAUACCGAUGGCGAAGGCAGCCCCCUGGGCCAAUACUGACGCUCAUGCACGAAAGCGUGGGGAGCAAACAGGAUUAGAUACCCUGGUAGUCCACGCCCUAAACGAUGUCAACUAGUUGUUGGGGAUUCAUUUCCUUAGUAACGUAGCUAACGCGUGAAGUUGACCGCCUGGGGAGUACGGUCGCAAGAUUAAAACUUAAAUGAAUUGACGGGGUCAUAGCUGUUUCCU
rnacentral:rRNA from 1 species